rnacentral:rRNA from 1 species
GGCGCACGGGUGAGUAACACGUAGGUAAUCUACCCUCUGGCGGGGGACAACGUUCCGAAAGGAACGCUAAUACCGCGUAAGACCACGGCUUCUGCGGAAGCAGUGGGAAAAGGUGGCCUCUCCAUGGAAGCUAUCGCCAGAGGAUGAGCCUGCGCCCCAUCAGCUAGUUGGUAAGGUAACGGCUUACCAAGGCGAAGACGGGUAGCUGGUCUGAGAGGAUGAUCAGCCACACUGGCACUGGAACACGGGCCAGACUCCUACGGGAGGCAGCAGUAAGGAAUCUUGGGCAAUGGGCGAAAGCCUGACCCAGCCACGCCGCGUGAGUGAUGAAGGCCUUCGGGUUGUAAAGCUCUGUGGGGAAGGACGAAAAAGCCAGCUUCAAAUAGGGGCAGGCCUUGACGGUACUUCCUUAGCAAGCACCGGCUAACUCUGUGCCAGCAGCCGCGGUAAUACAGAGGGUGCAAACGUUGCUCGGAAUCACUGGGCGUAAAGCGCGUGUAGGCGGACAUGCAAGUCGGGCGUGAAAUCCCUGGGCUCAACCCAGGAACUGCGUUCGAAACUGCAUGUCUAGAGUGGCGGAGAGGGUAGCGGAAUUCCCGGUGUAGAGGUGAAAUACGUAGAUAUCGGGAGGAACACCAGUGGCGAAGGCGGCUACCUGGACGCCAACUGACGCUGAGACGCGAAAGCGUGGGGAGCAAACAGGAUUAGAUACCCUGGUAGUCCACGCCGUAAACGAUGUGUACUAGUGCAGCGGACAUUGACUGCUGCUGCGCCGUAGCUAACGCGAUAAGUACACCGCCUGGGGAGUACGGCCGCA